AUAAUUGGAAUACUGAAACAGUGUGGUUCACCCUUGCCCCUUUUUGUGAUAGAGUUCAGCUUCACCUGGUGAUAGGGAACUGGAAUGUUUAAUAACAAAUUAUCAGCUAAUGCUUGAAUUCUAUUGCAACAUUUGAUAUCAUUCAACAACAAAGAAUUUUUCCUUGAAUAAAGAACAACAAAAGAAUAUGUGUACGGUUAUCUCACUUGGGGAACAAUAUGUCUUGACUAAAUGAAGGUUCAGAUAAAGUCAUCAAAACAACCAAUAUGCCAUAAUACUCUACAGUUUCUCUAUGAAAUUGUCGAUGUGCAUGACCAGCUAGGUCAGGACAAACACAACUUGUUCUCUUAUUUUUUUUUGCCGGGUUGGCCGAAAGAAGGCCAACUUAAUUUCAUUAAGAUCGAAAGAGAAUGUACAAGUACAACUUGUUCUCUUAUUAUAAUGUCAUGUGUGGUUAAUGAUAUCUAAAUGGAUUGACUUGAGGUUAAAUCUUAUCACUUGUACAGUCAUCGUUUCUUUGGGGAUAUGUCUUCUCAUCCAUGGUUGGGGGAGCUUUGGCAGACCGAUAUGGAGGGAAGAAGGUGAUGGCAGGUGCUGCUGCUCUCUGGUCCUUGGCCACUUUCCUCACUCCAUGGGCUGCUUCUCAAUCCACCAUUAUGUUGCUUGCCGUACGUGCCCUCUUUGGCCUUGCGGAAGGUGUUGCGUUUCCAACAAUGAGCACUUUCUUGCCGAAGUAAGUAGCUCUGAAUCAUUUUCUAUUGAUGCCAACUCUUGUUAGAAAUUCUGGGAAGAAUGUAUUGAUGCAAUAAACACAAUCUCAAUUUGGGUUUUCAAUCUCAUUUUGAACACAAAACAGGUGGUUCCCAACACAUGAACGUGCUACUGCUGUUGGUAUUUCCAUGGGAGGUUUCCAUCUUGGAAAUGUCAUAAGCUUCUUGGCAACACCGAUUAUCAUGUCGCAUAUAGGUCUUGCCGGGACAUUUGCCUUCUUCGCAUCACUUGGCUACUUGUGGCUCUCUGUAUGGCUGUUCAAUGUCGAAAGUGACCCUCUUGACAGUCGUACAAUAAGCAAAUCUGAGCUGCAACUAAUCCUAGUGGGCCGAAGUACAUCAAAAGUUCAGGGUAGCAAAUUCCCAUCCUUACGAGAUCUGCUGUCGAAGAUUGAAAUGUGGGCCAUCAUUGUAGCUAAUGUGGUCAACAACUGGGUAAGAUUUUAAUGAAUCAGUUCACAACAAUUUGGUGCUGCCUCGUCUAAAUGUUAACUUCUGCAAGUUCAAAAUACCAUGCAGGGCUAUUUUGUACUACUAUCAUGGAUGCCCGUCUACUUUAAAACGGUAUGUUGCCUAAGAUGUUCAAAUUGGUAACUGUGACAACGCUGCUAUUAAGCUAUUAUUCCUGGCUGCUAUCCGACAACAGGUUUAUAAUGUCAACUUGAAACAAGCUGCAUGGUUCAGCGCCAUACCUUGGGCAGUCAUGGCUCUGUCUGGUUACGUCGCAGGAGCUUCUGCAGAUUUCCUGAUCAAAUCUGGUUUCUCUAUUGCACUUGUUCGGAAGAUCAUGCAGGUAACAGCAGCACCUGAAAUUAGACUUGUACAUUACUUGGAAGUUACCAAUAACUUAGCACAGCCAGAAACAUAAAACUUACCACAUUUUUGUUCCGUAUUUAUGCUUGGGACAGUCCA
rnacentral:lncRNA from 1 species